UGCGCAGGCGGACCUAUUAGUCAGUGGUGAAAUCCCGGGGCUCAACUCCGGAACUGCCAUUGAUACUGUAGGUCUUGAGUUUGGUUGAAGUGGGCGGAAUGUAGCAUGUAGCGGUGAAAUGCAUAGAUAUGCUACAGAACACCAAUCGCGAAGGCAGCUCACUAAACCAAAACUGACGCUCAGGCACGAAAGCGUGGGUAGCGAACAGGAUUAGAUACCCUGGUAGUCC
rnacentral:rRNA from 1 species